GGAAUUUAAAGGAUAUUCCUCCCAGUGCCUGAAUUAACACAAUUUUGCAUCCUUGAUUUCUUGGUCCCAGACCCUUUAUGCAUUGCAGUGAGUCAGACCCUUGGAUAUGGAGCUAAGACAUUUUAAUGAAUUGCAAAGGAGGAACAGAUUUUGCUAGGCAUCUUUAAGUACUUAACUUCAAACAGACUGGCCUUUGGUCCUUUGAGAAAAUUAAAUAAAACCUAUGGGAACAUUUAUUCACACAAUAUAACCA